rnacentral:rRNA from 1 species
AUUGAACGCUGGCGGCAGGCCUAACACAUGCAAGUCGAACGGUAACAGGAAGAAGCUUGCUUCUUUGCUGACGAGUGGCGGACGGGUGAGUAAUGUCUGGGAAACUGCCUGAUGGAGGGGGAUAACUACUGGAAACGGUAGCUAAUACCGCAUAACGUCGCAAGACCAAAGAGGGGGACCUUCGGGCCUCUUGCCAUCGGAUGUGCCCAGAUGGGAUUAGCUAGUAGGUGGGGUAACGGCUCACCUAGGCGACGAUCCCUAGCUGGUCUGAGAGGAUGACCAGCCACACUAGAACUGAGACAGGGUCCAGACUCUUACGGGAGGCAGCAGUGGGGAAUAUUGCGCAAUGGGGGCAAGCCUGAUGCAGCCAUGCCGCGUGUAUGAAGAAGGCCUUCGGGUUGUAAAGUACUUUCAGCGGGGAGGAAGGGAGUAAAGUUAAUACCUUUGCUCAUUGACGUUACCCUCAGAAGAAGCACCGGCUAACUCCGUG